AUUGUGAACGCUGCUUUACACUUACUUAGCCCCAUAGAAUUCACUUGUGCAGCAUCAUUGACAGGAGGCGUCCAUUACAGAGGCUACUCUCGGAAUUGUACACCUUUAAUCAAUCUUAUUGUGGAAAAAUACAAUUUUUAUUUUGAAAUAUUUGCAUUGAAAACCAUGGUUUGUGUUGCAAUAAAUUUUAAACAAUUGUGCAGUA